GAUCCUGGCUCAGGAUGAACGCUAGCUACAGGCUUAACACAUGCAAGUCGAGGGGCAGCAUGAACUUAGCUUGCUAAGUUUGAUGGCGACCGGCGCACGGGUGAGUAACACGUAUCCAACCUGCCGAUGACUCGGGGAUAGCCUUUCGAAAGAAAGAUUAAUACCCGAUGGCAUAGUUCUUCCGCAUGGUAGAACUAUUAAAGAAUUUCGGUCAUCGAUGGUGAUGUCCGUUCCUAGUUUAGGG
rnacentral:rRNA from 1 species